AUUGAACGCUGGCGGCAGGCCUAACACAUGCAAGUCGAACGAGUGGCGGACGGGUGAGUAAUGUCUGGGAAACUGCCUGAUGGAGGGGGAUAACUACUGGAAACGGUAGCUAAUACCGCAUACCAUCAGAGGUGCCCAUAUGGGAUUAGCUGGUUGGUGGGGUAACGGCUCACCAAGGCGCAGAUCCCUAGCUGGUCUGAGAGGAUGACAGUCCACACGGGAACUGCGACACGGUCCAGACUCCUACGGGAGGCAGCAGUGGGGAAUAUUGCACAAUUGGCGCAAGCCUGAUGCAGCCAUGCCGCGUGUAUGAAGAAGGCCUUCGGGUUGUAAAGUACUUUCAGCGGGGAGGCGUUACCCGCAGAAGAAGCACCGGCUAACUCCGUGCCAGCCGCCGCGGUAAUUC
rnacentral:rRNA from 1 species